UCGAGUGGCGAACGGGUGAGUAACACGUGGGUGAUCUGCCCUGCACUUUGGGAUAAGCCUGGGAAACUGGGUCUAAUACCGAAUAGGACCGCAUGCUGCAUGGUGUGUGGUGGAAAGCUUUUGCGGUGUGGGAUGGGCCCGCGGCCUAUCAGCUUGUUGGUGGGGUAAUGGCCUACCAAGGCGACGACGGGUAGCCGGCCUGAGAGGGUGUCCGGCCACACUGGGACUGAGAUACGGCCCAGACUCCUACGGGAGGCAGCAGUGGGGAAUAUUGCACAAUGGGCGCAAGCCUGAUGCAGCGACGCCGCGUGGGGGAUGACGGCCUUCGGGUUGUAAACCUCUUUCAGUAUCGGCGAAGCUCCAAGGUUUUCUUUGGGGUGACGGUAGGUACAGAAGAAGCACCGGCCAACUACG
rnacentral:rRNA from 1 species